CAGUAGCCACGGUAAGACGUAGGAUGCAAGCGUUGUCCGGAUUUAUUGGGCGUAAAGAGUUCGUAGGCGGUUUGCUAAGUCUGAUGUUAAAGAUCGGGGCUCAACCCUGGGAGUGCAUUGGAUACUGGCAGACUGGAGUGUGGUAGAGGCUAGUGGAAUUCCUAGUGUAGCGGUGAAAUGCGUAGAUAUUAGGAAGAACACCAGUGGCGUAGGCGACUAGCUGGGCCAUAACUGACGCUGAGGAACGAAAGCCAGGGGAGCGAAUGGGAUUAGAUACCCGGGUAGUCCCUGUCUCUUAUAC
rnacentral:rRNA from 1 species